rnacentral:tRNA from 1 species
GAAAGAACUGUAAGAACUGNUACGUCAUACUACUGGUACUAAUCCCACAAACCUUGCC